rnacentral:rRNA from 1 species
GAUGAACGCUGGCGGCAUGCCUAACACAUGCAAGUCGAACGAGCCGUGCGGGUCUAGUGGCGCACGGGUGCGUAACACGUGGGAAUCUGCCCUUCGGUUCGGAAUAACCGUUAGAAAUGACUGCUAAUACCGGAUACCGACGUAAGUCCAAAGAUUUAUCGCCGAAGGAUGAGCCCGCGUAGGAUUAGGUAGUUGGUGGGGUAAUGGCCGACCAAGCCGACGAUCCUUAGCUGGUCUGAGAGGAUGAUCAGCCACACUGGGACUGAGACACGGCCCAGACUCCUACGGGAGGCAGCAGUGGGGAAUAUUGGACAAUGGGAGAAAGCUUGAUCCAGCAAUGCCGCGUGAGUGAUGAAGGCCUUAGGGUUGUAAAGCUCUUUUACCAGGGAUGAUAAUGACAGUACCUGGAGAAUAAGCUCCGGCUAACUCCGUGCCAGCCGCCGCAGUAA